CGACUGUAGAGAGGGAUUUUUUUUAUUAUUAUAAUAAAGCGUAGGCAGUUUAAAAACAAACCCUCCCUGCUGAGUCUGCAGAGCGCGGAGAGGACCAGGGAGAGGAGCUUGUGCCUGAACUAAACUUUGAGCCGGUCACAAGACUUCCCAGCUCUCAGGGAAGGGGGGUCGGGUUCCUCGCCUGAGUCACCGGCACAGAGCCCCGCCUGAGAGGAUAGAUGCAUUCUCUUUAAGAGCAACAGAACUGGAAAGAGCAAAAUGACGACAACUGUGAGAUAUGAACAAGGGUCAGAGCUGCCAGAAGUUGAUGGCUUUCAAAAGACGGGGGAGGGCAGCAUAAAGAUUGAUGAUGGCUGCGUUGAGGAUAAUGAACCAGACACUUGCUCCCGUACUCUUAAAAAACAGAUUUCUCCAUUUGUGAUGUCAUUUGGAUUCAGAAUAUUUGGUGUUAUACUCAUCUUUGUGGACAUUACUCUUGUGAUUGUGGACCUAGCUAUUCGUGACAAGGAAAAGAGCAUAAGAGAGACCCUGGAAGGCGUUUCCUUGGCAAUAGCACUCUUCUUUCUCGUGGAUGUUCUCCUGCGAGUGUUUGUUGAGGGCUUCAGCAAUUAUUUCAAGUCCAAACUGAACAUUUUAGAUGCGGUGAUUGUCGUGGGCACCCUGUUAAUUAAUAUGGUGUAUUCUUUCUCUGACUUCAGUGGUGCGGACAAGAUCCCAAGAAUGGUUAUCGUCCUUCGAGCUUUGAGAAUUAUCAUUCUGAUAAGAAUAUUUCGCCUGGCCUCGCAAAAGAAACAACUAGAAAAGGUGACCAGGAGGAUGGUCUCGGAAAACAAAAGGCGCUAUACAAAAGAUGGCUUUGACCUGGACCUUACUUAUGUUACUGAUCGUAUUAUUGCAAUGUCAUUUCCAUCAUCCGGGAAGCAAUCUUUCUAUAGGAAUCCUAUAAAGGAAGUUGCAAGAUUCUUGGAUACAAAACAUAAAGACCACUAUACAAUCUAUAACCUUUGCAGUGAAAAAGGUUAUGACCCUGUGUACUUCCAUUACAGGGUGGAGAGAGUCUUUAUUGAUGACCACAAUGUCCCCAGCCUAAAGGACAUGCUGAAAUUUACUGCCAAUGUGCGUGAGUGGAUGAAAAAGGAUGAAAAGAACAUCAUAGCAAUUCACUGUAAAGGAGGCAAGGGCAGGACUGGAACAAUGGUUUGUACUUGGCUCAUUGACAGUGACCAGUUUGAGAGUGCAAAGGAGAGCUUGGACUAUUUUGGGGAGAGGAGAACUGAUAAAAGUACAAGUUCCAAAUUUCAAGGAGUUGAAACACCAUCCCAGAGUAGGUAUGUUGGGUAUUAUGAGAUCCUGAAGAACAAGUAUAACUUGAAACUCCCACCAGAGAGACAACUCAAAAUAAAGAACAUCAAAAUCUACUCUAUUAAUGGAGUUGGAAAAGGCAAUGGAAGUGAUCUUAAAGUUCAGAUAAUUGUGAAAAAGAAAGUUGUAUUCCAUUGUGUUUGUGCCACUCAAGAAAACUGUAGGUUAUUUUUUGAUGCUGAAAAUGACUUUGCAGUAAUUGGCUUGGAAGACUGUCCUGUUAUAAGCGGUGAUGUGAAAGUCCGAUUUGAAUCACGAACUGAUCUUCCAAAAGGCUAUGAUGACUGCCCGUUCUUCUUCUGGUUCAACACCUCUUUUAUAGAAAAUAACAGGUAAGAUGUAUUACAACAGGACAACCAGAGUGGCAGGUCCAUAAUGCUACAAUUUUCAAUGGAGUGAAGUGAGCUGAAAUGUGUAAUGGCUUUACCUUCCUAGAAAUGAGUUGGAUAACCCUCAUAAAUCCAAAAUGUGGAAAAUCUACAGGGAGACGUUUGCUGUGGAGUUGAACUUUGUAGAACCAUAAUGAGAAGUUGUCAGCUUUUGUUUAGAAAGAAUUGGUUUCCCUCAAAGAAUCAUGUUUGGUCUUCCCCAAUAUGGUGGCAUCUUCUGAGAGUCGUCUUCAUGUAAUUCUUGGUAUAUUUGUAUGGAGAUACAGUAUCUCAAUUAAAUGUUGAAACAAGGAAAAAUA